AAACUGGAAUUAAUACCGCAUACGCCCUACGGGGGAAAGAUUUAUCGGGGAAGGAUUGGCCCGCGUUGGAUUAGCUAGUUGGUGGGGUAAAGGCCUACCAAGGCGACGAUCCAUAGCUGGUCUGAGAGGAUGAUCAGCCACAUUGGGACUGAGACACGGCCCAAACUCCUACGGGAGGCAGCAGUGGGGAAUAUUGGACAAUGGGCGCAAGCCUGAUCCAGCCAUGCCGCGUGAGUGAUGAAGGCCUUAGGGUUGUAAAGCUCUUUCACCGAUGAAGAUAAUGACGGUAGUCGGAGAAGAAGCCCCGGCUAACUUCGUGCCAGCAGCCGCGGUAAUACGAAGGGGGCUAGCGUUGUUCGGAAUUACUGGGCGUAAAGCGCACGUAGGCGGAUAUUUAAGUCAGGGGUGAAAUCCCGCAGCUCAACUGCGGAACUGCCUUUGAUACUGGGUAUCUUGAGUAUGGAAGAGGUAAGUGGAAUUCCGAGUGUAGAGGUGAAAUUCGUAGAUAUUCGGAGGAACACCAGUGGCGAAGGCGGCUUACUGGUCC
rnacentral:rRNA from 1 species